GAGCGCGUAGCUCAGCCGGUAGAGCACGUGACUUUUAAUCACGGGGUCCUGGGUUCGAGCCCCAGCGCGCUCACCA
rnacentral:tRNA from 159 species